rnacentral:rRNA from 1 species
GCUUGUCUCAAAGAUUAAGCCAUGCAUGUCUAAGUACAAGCCUCAGUAAGGUGAAACCGCGAAUGGCUCAUUAAAUCACACCUAAUCUACUGGAAAGUUACUAGUUACUUGGAUAACUGAGGUAAUUCUUGAGCUAAUACAUGCGAAAAAUCUCGACUCACGGAGAGAUGCUUUUAUUAGAUCAAAACCAAACGGCUUCGGUCGUUCCUCUGGUGAUUCUGAAUAACUUUGGGCUGAUCGCACGGCUUUACGCCGGCGACGUAUCCUUCUAAGGUGUGCCCUAUCAACUGUCGACUGUGGCAUAGACGCCCACAGUGGUUUUGACGGGUAACGGGGAAUCAGGGUUCGAUUCCGGAGAGGGAGCCUGAGAGACGGCUACCACUUCUAAGGAAGGCAGCAGG